GCCUGUGAGGGUUGCUGGAGGUAUCAGAAGUGCGAAUGCUGACAUAAGUAACGAUAAAGCGGGUGAAAAGCCCGCUCGCCGGAAGACCAAGGGUUCCUGUCCAACGUUAAUCGGGGCAGGGUGAGUCGACCCCUAAGGCGAGGCCGAAAGGCGUAGUCGAUGGGAAACAGGUUAAUAUUCCUGUACUUGGUGUUACUGCGAAGGGGGGACGGAGAAGGCUAUGUUGGCCGGGCGACGGUUGUCCCGGUUUAAGCGUGUAGGCUGGUUUUCCAGGCAAAUCCGGAAAACCAAGGCUGAGGCGUGAUGACGAGGCACUACGGUGCUGAAGCGACAAAUGCCCUGCUUCCAGGAAAAGCCUCUAAGCAUCAGGUAACAUCAAAUCGUACCCCAAACCGACACAGGUGGUCAGGUAGAGAAUACCAAGGCGCUUGAGAGAACUCGGGUGAAGGAACUAGGCAAAAUGGUGCCGUAACUUCGGGAGAAGGCACGCUGAUAUGUAGGUGAAGCGACUUGCUCGUGGAGCUGAAAUCAGUCGAAGAUACCAGCUGGCUGCAACUGUUUAUUAAAAACACAGCACUGUGCAAACACGAAAGUGGACGUAUACGGUGUGACGCCUGCCCGGUGCCGGAAGGUUAAUUGAUGGGGUUAGCGGUAACGCGAAGCUCUUGAUCGAAGCCCCGGUAAACGGCGGCCGUAACUAUAACGGUCCUAAGGUAGCGAAAUUCCUUGUCGGGUAAGUUCCGACCUGCACGAAUGGCGUAAUGAUGGCCAGGCUGUCUCCACCCGAGACUCAGUGAAAUUGAACUCGCUGUGAAGAUGCAGUGUACCCGCGGCAAGACGGAAAGACCCCGUGAACCUUUACUAUAGCUUGACACUGAACAUUGAGCCUUGAUGUGUAGGAUAGGUGGGAGGCUUUGAAGUGUGGACGCCAGUCUGCAUGGAGCCGACCUUGAAAUACCACCCUUUAAUGUUUGAUGUUCUAACGUUGGCCCGUAAUCCGGGUUGCGGACAGUGUCUGGUGGGUAGUUUGACUGGGGCGGUCUCCUCCUAAAGAGUAACGGAGGAGCACGAAGGUUGGCUAAUCCUGGUCGGACAUCAGGAGGUUAGUGCAAUGGCAUAAGCCAGCUUGACUGCGAGCGUGACGGCGCGAGCAGGUGCGAAAGCAGGUCAUAGUGAUCCGGUGGUUCUGAAUGGAAGGGCCAUCGCUCAACGGAUAAAAGGUACUCCGGGGAUAACAGGCUGAUACCGCCCAAGAGUUCAUAUCGACGGCGGUGUUUGGCACCUCGAUGUCGGCUCAUCACAUCCUGGGGCUGAAGUAGGUCCCAAGGGUAUGGCUGUUCGCCAUUUAAAGUGGUACGCGAGCUGGGUUUAGAACGUCGUGAGACAGUUCGGUCCCUAUCUGCCGUGGGCGCUGGAGAACUGAGGGGGGCUGCUCCUAGUACGAGAGGACCGGAGUGGACGCAUCACUGGUGUUCGGGUUGUCAUGCCAAUGGCACUGCCCGGUAGCUAAAUGCGGAAGAGAUAAGUGCUGAAAGCAUCUAAGCACGAAACUUGCCCCGAGAUGAGUUCUCCCUGACUCCUUGAGAGUCCUGAAGGAACGUUGAAGACGACGACGUUGAUAGGCCGGGUGUGUAAGCGCAGCGAUGCGUUGAGCUAACCGGUACUAAUGAACCGUGAGGCUUAACCUUACAACGCCGAAG
rnacentral:rRNA from 1 species